rnacentral:rRNA from 1 species
AAACCAACAGGGAUUGCCUCAGUAACGGCGAGUGAAGCGGCAAAAGCUCAAAUUUGAAAUCUGGCGUCUUUGGCGUCCGAGUUGUAAUUUGAAGAUGGCAACUUUGGGUCUGGUGCUUGUCUAAGUUCCUUGGAACAGGACGUCAUAGAGGGUGAGAAUCCCGUAUGAUGAGAGAGCCAGAUCUUUGUAAAGUGCCUUCGAAGAGUCGAGUUGUUUGGGAAUGCAGCUCUAAGUGGGUGGUAAAUUCCAUCUAAAGCUAAAUAUUGGCGAGAGACCGAUAGCGAACAAGUACAGUGAUGGAAAGAUGAAAAGAACUUUGAAAAGAGAGUGAAAAAGUACGUGAAAUUGUUGAAAGGGAAGGGUUUGAGAUCAGACAUGGUAUUUUGUACACCUUCUCUCUCGGGAGGGGGCCUCUGCAGUUUACUGGGCCAGCAUCAGUUUGGACGGUAGGAUAAUGACUUAGGAAUGUGGCUCUUCUUCGGAAGUGUGUUAUAGCCUUUGUUGAUACUGCCUGUCUAGACUGAGGACCGCGUCUUUGACAAGGAUGUUGGCAUAAUGAUCUUAAGCCAC